rnacentral:rRNA from 1 species
GAAUUUUGGACAAUGGGGGCAACCCUGAUCCAGCCAUCCCGCGUGUGCGAUGAAGGCCUUCGGGUUGUAAAGCACUUUUGGCAGGGAAGAACAGGCUCUGGCUAAUACCUGGAGCUGCUGACGGUACCUGCAGAAUAAGCACCGGCUAACUACGUGCCAGCAGCCGCGGUAAUACGGAGGGUGAAAGCUGUAAUCGGAAUUCCUGGGCGUAAAGCGUGCGCAGGCGGUUCGGCAAGAAGGAUGUGAAAUCCCAGGGCUUAACCUUGGAACUGCAUUCUUAACCGCCGGGAUAGAGUAUGUCAGAGGGGGGUAGAAUUCCGCGUGUAGCAGUGAAAUGCGUAGAGAUGCGGAGGAAUACCGAUGGCGAAGGCAGCCCCCUGGGAUAAUACUGACGCUCAUGCACGAAAGCGUGGGGAGCAAAC